rnacentral:lncRNA from 1 species
GUUCAUAUCUAGUUAAAAAUCGAGUUCAUAUCUAGUUAAAACAGUAUAAUAUCUAGUUAACCAGUCAAUCUAGUUAACCUAGUUAGCCUGGCUAAUAUCGAGUUAACCUAGUUCAAUCUAGUUAAACCCUAGUUAACAAUGUAGUUCAUAUCUAGUUGAAACUAGUUAAUAUCUAGUUUUAAUUUUUAACAUAAAUCCAAUUCCCUCUUCAUAAUGCUGAAACACAGCUGUUUCCUGCCCUAUGUCGUCUCUGUUGUCUUUAUCUCAUAAUGGUCCUCCUCUGUUUUCCUGCCUCAUGUCCUCUGUUAUGUCUUAACUCAUAAUGUCCUCCCCUGUUUCCUGCCCCUAUGUCCUCUGUUAUGUCUUUAUCUCAUAAUGUCCUCCUCUGUUUCCUGCCCCUAUGUCCUCUGUUAUGUCUUUAUCUCAUAAUGUCCUCCUCUGUUUUCCUGCCCCUAUGUCCCUGUUAUGUCUUUAUCUCAAAUGUCCUCCUCUGUUUCCUGCCCCUAUGUCCUCUUUAUGUCUUUAUCUCAUA